AGGCGGCACCCAGAUUUGAACUGGGGGUAAAGGAUUUGCAGUCCCCUGCCUUACCACUUGGCCAUGCCGCC
rnacentral:tRNA from 1 species